CAGGGCCUACGGGGGGCAGCAGUGGGGAAUAUUGCGCAAUGGGCGAAAGCCUGACGCAGCGACGCCGCGUGAAGGAAGAAGGCUUUCGGGUUGUAAACUUCUUUUGACAGGGAAGAGCAGAAGACGGUACCUGUCGAAUAAGCCACGGCUAACUACGUGCCAGCAGCCGCGGUAAUACGUAGGUGGCAAGCGUUGUCCGGAUUUACUGGGUGUAAAGGGCGUGUAGCCGGGCUGACAAGUCAGAUGUGAGAUCCGGGGGCUCAACCCCCGAACUGCAUUUGAAACUGUUGGUCUUGAGUAUCGGA
rnacentral:rRNA from 1 species